rnacentral:rRNA from 1 species
CCUACGGGUGGCAGCAUUGAGGAAUAUUGGUCAAUGGACGCGAGUCUGAACCAGCCAAGUAGCGUGAAGGAUGACUGCCCUAUGGGUUGUAAACUUCUUUUAUAUGGGAAUAAAAUGUUCCACGUGUGGGAUUUUGUAUGUACCAUAUGAAUAAGGAUCGGCUAACUCCGUGCCAGCAGCCGCGGUAAUACGGAGGAUCCGAGCGUUAUCCGGAUUUAUUGGGUUUAAAGGGAGCGUAGGUGGAUUGUUAAGUCAGUUGUGAAAGUGUGCGGCUCAACCGUACAAUUGCAGUUGAAACGGGCAGUCUUGAGUACAGUAGAGGUGGGCGGAAUUCGUGGUGUAGCGGUGAAAUGCUUAGAUAUCACGAAGAACUCCGAUUGCGAAGGCAGUUCACUGGACUGCAACUGACACUGAGGCUCGAAAGUGUGGGUAUCAAACAGGAUUAGAUACCCGAGUAGUC